rnacentral:rRNA from 1 species
UGGGGAAUUUUGGACAAUGGGCGAAAGCCUGAUCCAGCAAUGCCGCGUGUGUGAAGAAGGCCUUCGGGUUGUAAAGCACUUUUGUCCGGAAAGAAAUCCUUGGCUCUAAUACAGUCGGGGGAUGACGGUACCGGAAGAAUAAGCACCGGCUAACUACGUGCCAGCAGCCGCGGUAAUACGUAGGGUGCAAGCGUUAAUCGGAAUUACUGGGCGUAAAGCGUGCGCAGGCGGUUUGCUAAGACCGAUGUGAAAUCCCCGGGCUCAACCUGGGAACUGCAUUGGUGACUGGCAGGCUAGAGUAUGGCAGAGGGGGGUAGAAUUCCACGUGUAGCAGUGAAAUGCGUAGAGAUGUGGAGGAAUACCGAUGGCGAAGGCAGCCCCCUGGGCCAAUACCGACGCUCAUGCACGAAAGCGUGGGGAGCAAACAGGAUUAGAUACCCUGGUAGUCCACGCCCUAAACGAUGUCAACUAGUUGUUGGGGAUUCAUUUCCUUAGUAACGUAGCUAACGCGUGAAGUUGACCGCCUGGGGAGUACGGUCGCAAGAUUAAAACUCAAAGGAAUUGACGGGGUCAUA